rnacentral:rRNA from 1 species
AUUGAACGCUGGCGGCAGGCCUAACACAUGCAAGUCGAACGGUAACAGAAAGCAGCUUGCUGCUUUUCUGACGAGUGGCGGACGGGUGAGUAAUGUCUGUGAAACUGCCUGAUGGAGGGGGAUAACUACUGGAAACGGUAGCUAAUACCGCAUAACGUCGCAAGACCAAAGAGGGGGACCUUCGGGCCUCUUGCCAUCGGAUGUGCCCAGAUGGGAUUAGCUAGUAGGUGGGGUAACGGUUCACCUAGGCGACGAUCCCUAGCUGGUCUGAGAGGAUGACCAGCCACACUGGAACUGAGACACGGUCCAGACUCCUACGGGAGGCAGCAGUGGGGAAUAUUGCACAAUGGGCGCAAGCCUGAUGCAGCCAUGCCGAGUGUAUGAAGAAGGCCUACGGGUUGUAAAGUACUUUCAGCGGGGAGGAAGGGAGUAAAGUUAAUACCUUAGCUCAUUGACGUUACCCGAAGAAGAAGCACCGGCUAACUCCGUG